rnacentral:rRNA from 1 species
CUCAUCAACGGUGACUUCAACAUUAUAUACGAGGCUAGAGACAAGAAUAACAGCAACAUCAAUCGGUGGAUCAUGGGUAAAUUUAGAGCCGCAAUCGACGCGGGUGGCCUACGGGAGAUCAAGUGCAAAAACCGUCAUUUCACCUGGAGCAAUGAGCGUCGAAACCCUACCUUAGUUAGUAUCAACAAAUUCUUCCGCACCAUUGCUUGGGAGGGACUUUUCCCAUCUUUUCUCCUGCAUGCUGCAUCAACUUCCUGA